rnacentral:siRNA from 1 species
AACACUAGGAGGUUACAAUUCUUC